CGCGUGCCCCGUGAAUGCAAAUGUGGACGGAGGAGUUACAACACAGGUGGGAUCUAGAGAGGGCCUUCCCCAGUACAAAGGCCCUGAGACAGAGGACGGCCUGGAAGGACCGCGGUGCACGAGAGAGCAGGCGCACCAGGACCUUUGGGAGGAGAAACACGCAGGGGCUGAAAGGUGGUUUUUCCAAAUUACGUUAGAUCCGCAAAACCUCCUUGUUUUGCGGCGAGAUUCAGCGAAGGCUGAAAGGGCCCAGGAGGCGGAGCGGUUACUUCGGCCUCCCUACUCGCCCGACAGGCUGGCCUCCACCCUCAGGGGAACGCGCCACCGAGUCACUCCUUGAGCGCACCCAAGUUCUCCCGUGGCCACUGCAGCUCAUUUCCUCCUACCUUGAGGUCUCUCAACCAAUGAGUUUGCCUCUUCACCCAGAAAAGCAACUAUCGGUGACAGUUGUAUGGCUGAAGAGUGAGCUACAAGCCUGCCCAGGCUGCAGGAGACAGGCCGUGGGGUCCAGAUGUGGGCUGAACUCUGUCCCGGCCCCACUGCAGUCCAAGUUGGCACGAGGAGAUGAGGACCUGUCUUCGGAGCAGCCCACCAGAUGCCUCAUGAGGAGCGUGGGCAGACCAGAUGAGAAUCCAUGCUGGAACAACAAAUCUCAUGCCCAAGAAUGGAGCUGAAGAAGCUGAAAGGAAAGCGGGGUCCACACAGGAGAAACGAAGGAGGGGAUUAAGAGAGAUAUUAUAGGAAACAUCUCAUCAAUGUGGCACCUUCAUCAUCUGGAUAUUCCAGAGGAAACCUCCAGAAUGGCCCGCUUGCCAAAUGUAGAUACAUCUAAAGCCAAUAAGAUUUUGUGACCCAUAGUAUUCUCUGCCUGGUGCCCAGCGAUAUGCUCAGUGGAGGUAAAAAUGCAAAGUACGGCCUGGAAAGAAAUUUAUUUUUGUGGUUUCUUAGAAAUGACUGCCGUCCGUAGCUCUUAGCACGUGAAGCAGCAGAUGGAGUUGCAUACGCCCCAUGGGAGGGAGGAUGGGUGCAGCGAUUUCUUUCUGACUCCAGUGUAUUUCUUACUGAGACACAGGAAGGCUCAUGGAAUUUGAUGCCCCGGCUCAUCACUGCUCAAGACUCAAUUCAGCCCAAAUUGCUCCUGUUGGAGAAGUGAACUCGGAUGGUUCCUUUAAUGAGGCAGGAAGGGGAAAUUCCAUUUUCUGCCUGAGCUCAGUGCAGCCUGCCCGAAGGCUGAGGGGUCCAGAUGCCUAGCCGGUGACCGACUUGGAUCCAGGAGCCGCAGUGUCAGCAGAUCUGGAGGCUCAGCCUCGCUUGGAAUCAGAUGCUAUUAAAGCAGAACAGAAUCUCCUCUGAACAAGCUGCCACCACCGCUCCCAUGGCCACCAUCUGCUGUAGCAAUGUCCCCACCGUGAUGUGCUCCCUGCUUCUUCUGGUUACCUUCCCAUGCAUGUAGUGCCGCCUGAUUCGGGAGGCUGUAAGCUAUAAAUAAUGGCUUUAGCACCCGGCUCAAGCCAGGAGCAGAAUUCUCUAUGGUGGAAUCGUGCCAGCGCCCAGAAAAGGCAGUGGUGGCCCCUCAUCUGCCUCCCUCCCUCCCCCCAGUUCCCUCCCGCCGGUCCCCACCCUUUCUUUUUCCAGGCGUCUGGGGCUCUCUCUUGUUUGGCAGCUGCAUCUGGUGGACCACCUUGGAGCAAUGAGCUUCUGCCUCCCAGCUCGGUGAAACUUGCAGUUUGAAAGAGAGCCUCCAGAAGAGAGUAGCGCGAUUCCAGAAGAACAGACUUGUGAAUGGUGGCUCGGCAAGUGCCCAGCUUGCUGGCUCCCGGGCCGGGGAGAUACUGUUGCACAAGGUGGCCUUUGGAGUGCCCGUCCUCUGAACUAGACCAUCUAGGUCAUUUGCUACGUUUUUGGGAGUAGGGCUGGCACUGACACAAAUUAAUUUCUAAUUCCGCCCUCAGAGUAGCGGCACCCAAGAUCUGGGACUGUUGGCAAUUAGUAGGCUGCCCUGGGGGCAAUUUCUUCAGACGUUUUUGUCAUUUCUUUUAGCACAGGGUUCUAACCUGGUAGUAACUGUAGGGCUUUGGGUGUCUUAGGGAGCUAAAACAAAAUAUCAUAGACUACGUGGCUUAAACAACAAAUGUUUCUCUCUCAUAGUUCCGGAGGCUGGGAAUCCGAGAUCAUGAUGCUGGCUGAUGGGGUUCCUGGUGAGGGCUUGAUGCCUGGCUUGCAGAUGCUGGCUGCCUUCUGGCCUUCAGAGGGGGUGGGGGAGGGAGAGGGAGAGCCAGGGACAGAGCUUUUAAGGUUGAAUCGGCUUGAGAACCCCAGGCGCUCCAAAUUCUAGUCUGUUGUUAUUUCAACAACAUUCUUGUGCCUCAGGUACCAGUUGUUCUUUUAGUUACAAUAUCUGCUCUUUCAGACUUCCUUUGACAAGAAAUUUGUACUUCUGAAGUCAAUUUAUUUAAUAAUAAGAAUAUCUGUCCCUCCGAUGGAAGUUGAAACCUAAGCAUUUGCAGAUGACACCAUCAAAUGAGUAGCAUCUGCCUCAAAAAGCAGGCCUAAUAUAUUCUGCCCUGGGGAAAAGUAACAGGACCUCUUAUAAGGAGAGUUGACAACUUGAAUGAAAGUAUCACGUGGUCCUUGAGAUCAAAUAGUGGCAAGAGUCACCUUAGAAAGAAAGCAUUUUGCAUGCUCUCAACAGGAAGCUUGAGACCCUUGUUUGACCUGAUCAGUCUGAUGAAGAAUGAGAAAGACUGUGCCAUCCAGGUGGGGGGGGGGUAAGGACAAGUACGUGCGGGAGGCAGGAGACCAAGGGACAGAGAGGCCAAGGUGGGCACACUAGGAAGGCAGAAGGAGCCCAUUUUCCCCAACUUGAUGCACUGACUCCUAGAGGCAGGUGUGUUCUGUGGUGGAGAAGAAUGGACUGAAAGUCCUGUAAUCGGAAUCCUAUAACCCGCUCUGAGGCCGGGCACACCAAGCAAACUGCUUUCAGGUUGUAUUUCCGGGCUGGCCAGGCCAGAGACACACACGAGGGUCCUGAAAACUACAAGGCAGUGUAAGUGGACAUGUUGGCUUUCUUGUUUCUCCCUCAAUCUCCCAUGAGCUUACAUCCUCCAGAGCUGAAUUCAUUGUGUAUGCUGACAACAUGGAAUAUCAAAGCCUAUAGAGGGGAGGACUGGCCUUGCCUGAGGGAGAGAGUCCCAAGCUAAAUGUCACUUUGAGGGUCAUUUGGCUGUAAGCCCGGCAGGACCUCCUGGUGACACUUCUAACGUGACCCGCACCUUCUUUCAGACUUCUUAACGUAUGUAACCAGGGCAAUUAUUUAUAUACAGUGUAAUUGAACUACAUUUCCUCCAGCUAUGACCAAGUUUAAUCUCAACCUAUUUUUCUCAUUUAAGCUCUUGCCCCGCCUUCUCCUCCCAAUUCCUGUUUUUCAUUUCAAAAGCAGUUUAUGAGUCUCCUCAUUGUUGAAACACUCUUGAGAAAGUGAAAUGUGACUUAUCACCGGCUAGCCUGACGUACGUGUGAUACAGUCUUGUCUUGGACAAAGCGGAGUGCUUUAUUACCUUAUUUUUGAAGAAAUGAGUCAUUUCUGGGUGUGUUUCCAAGAAACGGACAAUUUAAUAAUAAAAAUAUUUGUCUUUA